UCGUUCUUGCUCCCAAUAUUUAAAUCCUAUAGUACCUGGAAGUCACUGGGCAACUCACCCCAACCAUCCGACAGACUGCCAUUGGUUACCUUCAGAGCGGUUACCAAGGACAAUUGAACUACAGGCACAGUGAUGGUUCAUACAGCACGUUUGGUUACGAUGCAUCCAAUACAUGGUUGACCGCCUUCGUCAUGAGGUCUUUUGGCCUAGCAAGGCGUUUCAUCUUCAUUGAUCCCAGUGUCCUCCAGUUUGGC